rnacentral:rRNA from 1 species
AAACCAACAGGGAUUGCCUCAGUAACGGCGAGUGAAGCGGCAACAGCUCAAAUUUGAAAUCUGGCCUCACGGUCCGAGUUGUAAUUUGUAGAGGAUGCUUUUGGCGAGGUGCUUUCCGAGUUCCCUGGAACGGGACGCCAUAGAGGGUGAGAGCCCCGUACGGUAAGACCACCGAGCCUCUGUAAAGCUCCUUCGACGAGUCGAGUAGUUUGGGAAUGCUGCUCUAAAUGGGAGGUGUACGUCUUCUAAAGCUAAAUACCGGCCAGAGACCGAUAGCGCACAAGUAGAGUGAUCGAAAGAUGAAAAGCACUUUGAAAAGAGGGUUAAAAAGUACGUGAAAUUGUUGAAAGGGAAGCAUUCAUGACCAGACUUGGGCUUGGUUGAACAUCCGGCGUUCUCGCCGGUGCACUCUGCCAGUCCAGGCCAGCAUCAGUUUGCCCCGGGGGACAAAGGCGGUGGGAAUGUGGCUCUCUUCGGGGAGUGUUAUAGCCCGCCGUGUAAUGCCCUGGGGCGGACUGAGGAACGCGCUUCGGCACGGAUGCUGGCGUAAUGGUCAUCAAUGAC